CGAUUAGCUCAGUUGGUAGAGCGCUUCGUUUACACCGAAGAUGUCGGCGGUUCGAGCCCGUCAUCGCCCACCA
rnacentral:tRNA from 1 species